rnacentral:rRNA from 1 species
UUUACAAUGAAGAAUACCUUAGGGCUCCUUUAUAUUUAGGAUUAUAAUUAAUAUAGAUUAAGAAGAUAUUGUAGUUGUACCUUUUGUAUCAGGGAAAUUUAAAGUUAAAAUAAGGUUUUAUCGAAUUAAUUAGAUCUUCUAUGGAGUUUAGUUAUUAGUAGCAUCUAAUAGACAAAGCCAAGUAUGAGGUAAAAAGUGUACGGUGAUUAGGGUAUCUAAUUGUUUUUAUUACAAAGGGAUAAGCUUUUAGUAAUCUAGAGUGUUGCAUGGUGUAAAAAACUAGGCUUUAAAGUAGCCAAGUUACCAUAUUGUUUAAAAUGAUUUUUUAAAAGAAGGAUAGGUUAGAUUUAAAGAAACUAUAUUAAUAGUUAUUAGUUUAUAAAAAUAAUGAAUUUAUUGAAUAAAGUAGGAAAUCUUAAAAGAACUCAAAAUAUUUUAGAAAGUUUAACAAAAACAUUUCUAUGUAAAAAUAACAAAGUAAUACCUGCCCAGUGAUGAUUAAAUGGCUGCGGUAUUUUGACUGUGCUAAGGUAGCAUAAUCAAUUGUUUCUUAAUUGGUAACUGGAAUGAAAGGUUUAACUAUCAUAUUUAGUUUGUUAGGUUAAAUAGGAGAUUAAAGUCAAGGUAAUAAUUCUUUGAUUUUCUAGGGGACGAUAAGACCCUAGAAGCUUAAUAAAUUGAGUAAACAUUAGUUGUAGGAUUAAAUUUAUUUUACUGGGGCGGUGGCAGUAAAUAAACUACUGUAAAUUUAAUGGAUCCUUAUAAUAAAGAUAAGAUGGUAAAGUUACUCUAGGGUUAACAGUGUAAUGUACUUGGAGAGAUCUUAUUGAUAAGUACGGUUACAACCUCGAUGUU